UUUUUACUGAUCGUCUUUUGGUUACGUGUUGACCUGGGGACGAGUCAGUCAGUGUACGACCUGACGUUCACGCAAGUGAUCAAAGCGCUUUUUUUUCAAUGUUCCUUUCUGGGCGCGAAGUCAGGGAAAUAAUCGCAAGGAUGGAGAACAUUCAACAGAAUCAGUAUGCAAUCAAGCAUGGAAUGGAUUCCAGAUAGGAAUAUAGGAUUCACCUUACACUCAGAAACUGGGGGAUAGGCCUAGUUGUUCAAAAUACACGGCGUUGCUGCAUGGACUUGAAGAGAUAGUUAUGAAUUUAGAAUAUCAUCAAGUGACUUUUAAUAAGGCACUGUUUUCAGUGGAUGAACCGACAUCAUGCAGUGUGACAGGAAAACGCCCGUGAGACCAAAGAUGGCUUAGAUAAAAGGGAAGACGAUGCAGAAGCCUCUGUACCAGAGAAAAAUCCAGAGAUGGCCCUCAAAGAAGUUAGAAACAAGAUGAGAGACCGUCUCAAGUUGUUUAGGUCUGGAGCAGUGACCUACGAGUCGAAGAAAUAGAUCUUUGAACCAGGUUACCCGUG